GACGAACGCUGGCGGCGUGCUUAACACAUGCAAGUCGAACGAAGUGGCGAACGGGUGAGUAACGCGUAAUCAACCUGCCCAUCAGAGGGGGACAACAGUUGGAAACGACUGAUAAUACCGCAUACGGAAGGAGGGGAUUGCGUGUGAUUAGCUAGGUGGGGGGGUAACGGCCAACCAAGGCGAUGUACAGUAGCCGGUCUUGAGGGAGUAACGGCCACAUUGGGACUGUGACACGGCCCAGACUCCUACGGGAGGCAGCAGUGGGGAAUCUUCCGCAAUGGACUAAAGUCUGACUGAGCAACGCCGCGUGAGUGAUGUCAGCCUUCGGGUUGUAAAGCUCUGUUAAUCGGGACGCGUUACCGGAAUAGAAAGCCACGGCUAACUACGUGCCAGCAGCCGCGGUAAUAC
rnacentral:rRNA from 1 species